CUUCCGUUAUUGAUUAUGACGUACUUGUACUGAUUGAGAUUUUAACACGAAGUGAGUGGCGAACGGGUGAGUAACACGUGGGUAACCUGCCCAGAAGUAGGGGAUAACACCUGGAAACAGAUGCUAAUACCGUAUAACAGAGAAAACCGCAUGGUUUUCUUUUAAAAGAUGGCUCUGCUAUCACUUCUGGAUGGACCCGCGGCGUAUUAGCUAGUUGGUGAGGUAAAGGCUCACCAAGGCAGUGAUACGUAGCCGACCUGAGAGGGUAAUCGGCCACAUUGGGACUGAGACACGGCCCAGACUCCUACGGGAGGCAGCAGUAGGGAAUCUUCCACAAUGGACGCAAGUCUGAUGGAGCAACGCCGCGUGAGUGAAGAAGGGUUUCGGCUCGUAAAGCUCUGUUGUUAAAGAAGAACGUGGGUAAGAGUAACUGUUUACCCAGUGACGGUAUUUAACCAGAAAGCCACGGCUAACUACGUGCCAGCAGCCGCGGUAAUACGUAGGUGGCAAGCGUUAUCCGGAUUUAUUGGGCGUAAAGCGAGCGCAGGCGGUCUUUUAAGUCUAAUGUGAAAGCCUUCGGCUCAACCGAAGAAGUGCAUUGGAAACUGGGAGACUUGAGUGCAGAAGAGGACAGUGGAACUCCAUGUGUAGCGGUGAAAUGCGUAGAUAUAUGGAAGAACACCAGUGGCGAAGGCGGCUGUCUGGUCUGCAACUGACGCUGAGGCUCGAAAGCAUGGGUAGCGAACAGGAUUAGAUACCCUGGUAGUCCAUGCCGUAAACGAUGAUUACUAAGUGUUGGAGGGUUUCCGCCCUUCAGUGCUGCAGCUAACGCAUUAAGUAAUCCGCCUGGGGAGUACGACCGCAAGGUUGAAACUCAAAAGAAUUGACGGGGGCCCGCACAAGCGGUGGAGCAUGUGGUUUAAUUCGAAGCUACGCGAAGAACCUUACCAGGUCUUGACAUCUUCUGACAGUCUAAGAGAUUAGAGGUUCCCUUCGGGGACAGAAUGACAGGUGGUGCAUGGUUGUCGUCAGCUCGUGUCGUGAGAUGUUGGGUUAAGUCCCGCAACGAGCGCAACCCUUAUUACUAGUUGCCAGCAUUAAGUUGGGCACUCUAGUGAGACUGCCGGUGACAAACCGGAGGAAGGUGGGGACGACGUCAAAUCAUCAUGCCCCUUAUGACCUGGGCUACACACGUGCUACAAUGGAUGGUACAACGAGUCGCGAGACCGCGAGGUUAAGCUAAUCUCUUAAAACCAUUCUCAGUUCGGACUGUAGGCUGCAACUCGCCUACACGAAGUCGGAAUCGCUAGUAAUCGCGGAUCAGCAUGCCGCGGUGAAUACGUUCCCGGGCCUUGUACACACCGCCCGUCACACCAUGAGAGUUUGUAACACCCAAAGCCGGUGGGGUAAC
rnacentral:rRNA from 1 species